rnacentral:rRNA from 1 species
GACGAACGCUGGCGGCGUGCUUAACACAUGCAAGUCGAACGGAAAGGCCCAGCUUGCUGGGUGCUCGAGUGGCGAACGGGUGAGUAACACGUGAGUAAUCUGCCUCUGACUUCGGGAUAACCAUUGGAAACGGUGGCUAAUACCGGAUAUGACCUCGGAUCGCAUGGUUUGGGGUGGAAAGUUUUUCGGUCAGGGAUGGGCUCGCGGCCUAUCAGCUUGUUGGUGGGGUAAUGGCCUACCAAGGCGGUGACGGGUAGCCGGCCUGAGAGGGUGACCGGCCACACUGGGACUGAGACACGGCCCAGACUCCUACGGGAGGCAGCAGUGGGGAAUAUUGGACAAUGGGCGAAAGCCUGAUCCAGCAACGCCGCGUGAGGGAUGACGGCCUUCGGGUUGUAAACCUCUUUCAGCACCGACGAAGCGCAAGUGACGGUAGGUGCAGAAGAAGGACCGGCCAACUACGUGCCAGCAGCCGCGGUAAUACGUAGGGUCCGAGCGUUGUCCGGAAUUAUUGGGCGUAAAGGGCUCGUAGGCGGUUUGUCGCGUCGGGAGUGAAAACUUGAGGCUUAACCUUAAGCGUGCUUUCGAUACGGGCAGACUAGAGGUAUUCAGGGGAGAAUGGAAUUCCUGGUGUAGCGGUGGAAUGCGCAGAUAUCAGGAGGAACACCGGUGGCGAAAGGCGGUUCUCUGGGAAUUACCUGACGCUGAGGAGCGAAAGCAUGGGGAGCGAACAGGAUUAGAUACCCUGGUAGUCCAUGCCGUAAACGUUGGGCGCUAGGUGUGGGGACCUUCCACGGGUUUCCGUGCCGCAGCUAACGCAUUAAGCGCCCCGCCUGGGGAGUACGGCCGCAAGGCUAAAACUCAAAGGAAUUGACGGGGGCCCGCACAAGCGGCGGAGCAUGCUGAUUAAUUCGAUGCAACGCGAAGAACCUUACCUGGGUUUGACAUAUACCGGAAACAUCUAGAGAUAGGUGCCCCCUUGUGGUCGGUAUACAGGUGGUGCAUGGCUGUCGUCAGCUCGUGUCGUGAGAUGUUGGGUUAAGUCCCGCAACGAGCGCAACCCUCGUCCUAUGUUGCCAGCACGUUAUGGUGGGGACUCAUAGGAGACCGCCGGGGUCAACUCGGAGGAAGGUGGGGAUGACGUCAAGUCAUCAUGCCCCUUAUGUCCAGGGCUUCAAGCAUGCUACAAUGGCCGGUACAAAGGGCUGCGAAACUGUAAGGUGGAGCGAAUCCCAAAAAGCCGGUCUCAGUUCGGAUUGGGGUCUGCAACUCGACCCCAUGAAGUCGGAGUCGCUAGUAAUCGCAGAUCAGCAACGCUGCGGUGAAUACGUUCCCGGGCCUUGUACUCACCGCC